rfam:Aureococcus anophagefferens unplaced genomic scaffold ATRANscaffold_18, whole genome shotgun sequence.
ACGAGCGACCAUAUCAUUCGGAGAGCACCGCUUCCCGUCAGCUCAGCGAAGUUAAGCCGGAUCGAGCUUGGUUAGUACUACGGUGGGUGACCACGUUGGAAUCCCGAGUGUUGCUCGUU